rnacentral:rRNA from 1 species
UACGUAGGGCGCAAGCGUUGUCCGGAAUUAUUGGGCGUAAAGAGCUCGUAGGCGGUUUGUCGCGUCUGUCGUGAAAGCUUGGGGCUUAACCCCAAGUCUGCGGUGGAUACGGGCAGACUAGAGGCAGGUAGGGGAGAACGGAAUUCCCGGUGUAGCGGUGAAAUGCGCAGAUAUCAGGAGGAACACCGGUGGCGAAGGCGGGUCUCUGGGCCGUAACUGACGCUGAGGAGCGAAAGCGUGGGGAGCGAACAGG